GUGCCAGCCGCGGUAAUACCGGCAGCCCGAGUGAUGGCCGAUCUUAUUGGGCCUAAAGCGUCCGUAGCUGGCUGCGCAAGUCCGUCGGGAAAUCCACUCGCCCAACGAGUGGCCGUCCGGCGGAACCUGUGUGGCUUGGGACCGGGAGGCCUGAGGGGUACGGUCGGGGUAGGAGUGAAAUCCCAUAAUCCCGCACGGACCACCGAUGGCGAAAGCACUUCGAGAAAACGGAUCCGACAGUGAGGGACGAAAGCCAGGGUCUCCAACCGGAUUAGAUACCCUAGUAGUCC
rnacentral:rRNA from 1 species